CAACCGCCGCGGUAAUACCGGCGGCCCGAGUGGCGGCCACUAUUAUUGGGCUUAAAGCGUCCGUAGCCGGGUUGGUUAGUCUCCCGGGAAAUCUGGCCGCUUAACGGUCAGAAUUCCGGGAGAUACUGCCAGCCUAGGGACCGGGAGAGGCCGAGGGUAUUCCCGGAGUAGGGGUGAAAUCCUAUAAUCCCGGGAGGACCACCUGUGGCGAAGGCGCUCGGCUGGAACGGGUCCGACGGUGAGGGACGAAGGCCAGGGGAGCAAACCGGAUUAGAUACCCGGGUAGUCCUGGCUGUAAACGAUGCGGGCUAGCUGUUGGGUGGGCUUAGAGCCCACCCAGUGGCGCAGGGAAGCCGUUAAGCCCGCCGCCUGGGGAGUACGGCCGCAAGGUUGAAACUUAAAGGAAUUGGCGGG
rnacentral:rRNA from 1 species